UACGUAGGGGGCAAGCGUUGUCCGGAAUCAUUGGGCGUAAAGCGCGUGUAGGCGGUUCGGUAAGUCUGCUGUGAAAGUCAAAGGCUCAACCUUUGAAAGCCGAUGGAUACUGCAGGGCUGGAGUCCGGAAGAGGCGAGUGGAAUUCCUGGUGUAGCGGUGGAAUGCGCAGAUAUCAGGAGGAACACCAAUAGCGAAGGCAGCUCGCUGGGACGGUACUGACGCUGAGGCGCGAAAGCGUGGGGAGCGAACAGG
rnacentral:rRNA from 1 species